UGACCACUGCUCCAGCUGUGAGAAAGGUUGCCACGACCUACCACACUCCCGCUGUCGCCACUGUCGCCCAUGCUCCAGUUAUCGCCGCUGCUCCAGCUGUCACUUACGCUGCAGCCCCUGCUGUCGCUGCUGUUCACGCCGCUCCAGCUGUAGCCACUACCACAGUCCACCACGCUCCAGCGGCCACAGUUGCGCACACAGCGUACCACGCUGCCCCAGUUUAUGGCUACGGUAUUGGCACCCUCGGCUAUGGCGUUGGUCACUAUGGUUUCGGCCAUGGUCUUCUCGGCUACGGUCUGAACUAUGGUUAUGGUCUUGGCACUCCGAUCCAAUAUGGUGCUCUCCUCCACAAGAAAUAAUUGUUUCACUCAACAAUAUAACGACCCUUCACAGAUGUGAAUAUCAAUAUCACCAUGGUUACCUUGUUUACUGGCAAAGAAUUAUAUGCUCCAGGUUUACGUAAAUAAAGUGUUCCGAUUUUGUGAAGAGCCA